AGCCUGAACGCUGGCGGCGUGGCUAAGACAUGCAAGUCGCACGGGGUAGCAAUACCCAGUGGCGAACGGGAGAGUAAUGAAUCGCUAACGUACCCCGGACUCUGGGGUAGCUAUCCGAAAGGGUAGGUAAUACCAGAUAACAUCACUUCCAGGCAUCUGGAGGUGCUCAAAGGUCCGCC
rnacentral:rRNA from 1 species